rnacentral:rRNA from 1 species
AUUGAACGCUGGCGGCAUGCCUUACACAUGCAAGUCGAACAGCAGCGCGGGAGCAAUCCUGGCGGCGAGUGGCGAACGGGUGAGUAAUACAUCGGAACGUGCCCAAUCGUGGGCGAUAACGCAGCGAAAGCUGCGCUAAUACCGCAUACGAUCUACGGAUGAAAGCAGGGGAUCGCAAGACCUUGCGCGAAUGGAGCGGCCGAUGGCAGAUUAGGUAGUUGGUGAGGUAAAGGCUCACCAAGCCUUCGAUCUGUAGCUGGUCUGAGAGGACGACCAGCCACACUGGGACUGAGACACGGCCCAGACUCCUACGGGAGGCAGCAGUGGGGAAUUUUGGACAAUGGGCGAAAGCCUGAUCCAGCCAUGCCGCGUGCAGGAUGAAGGCCUUCGGGUUGUAAACUGCUUUUGUACGGAACGAAACGGUCUUUUCUAAUAAAGAAGGCUAAUGACGGUACCGUAAGAAUAAGCACCGGCUAACUACGUG